rnacentral:lncRNA from 1 species
AUUUACUAGCUGUUUUUGUUUGUUUGUUUGUUUGUUUUUUGAAAUCCACAGGUCCUAUUUACCUGAUAUUCCAGUACUGCUGUAACGGAGAUCUCUUGAACUAUCUGAAGAGCAACAGGGAACGCUUUCACAAAUAUCUGACAGACGCUUUCAACAGGGACAGAUUCAGGGGCCUCUACCACAAUUUCCAGCAGAAGAUAAACUCCAGUGAGUAUAUUGAGCCUGAUAACAACCAAUACGUGCACAUGACUCCCUCAACCAAAGGACAGGAGAACGAGGCACUCCUCAGUCCCAGCAUCAGCUCAGUGUCUACUAUUGAGGAAAUGCUUGAAUGUGAAGACAAACACCAAGAAGAGGUACUUCAGAGUCUCACCUAUGAUGACCUUCUGAGUUUCUCUUUUCAAGUUGCA